GACGAACCGUGCGAACGUUAUUCGGAAUCACUGGGCUUAAAGCGCGUGUAGGCGGGACGGCACGUCUGUCGCUGAAAUCCCCCGGCUUAACCGGGGAACUGGCGUAGAUACGACCGUCCUGGAGGGGCGUAGGGGGACCUGGAACUUCCGGUGGAGCGGUGAAAUGCGUUGAGAUCGGAAGGAACUCCGGUGGCGAAAGCGAGCUGCUGGACCUCUUCUGACGCUGAGGCGCGAAAGCUAGGGGAGCAAACGGG
rnacentral:rRNA from 1 species